rnacentral:SRP_RNA from 1 species
AGCCGGGGUGGUAGCGGUACCCUGCACCAGCAAUCCGCUAUAGCUGGGGUGAUAUCAAACAGAGGCUUUCAGGCAGUGGAGCUGCCCUUCAUAAGUGGCGUUGAAGUCUGGGUCUUACGCAACAGGAAUUUACGAACCGGGUCAGGUCAGGAAUGGAGCAGCCCUAAGUAAAAGCUCUUGUGUGCCGUGAGGGUGCCUGGGCCGAGCAGGCUGUGGAGGUAACGUCUAAGGUUUGGAGUCGACGGGCGAUGCUC